AGAAUAUGAAGAACUAGAGAGAUGAACCAGACAUGCCCUCAGGAACUCACAGUCUAGUGGACCCUGCCCUGGCCUGGGCAGGUCUCCCCACUCCUAGUGAGUCUACACCCCUCUGGGCUACCACCCCUCACCUCAUGCUGUCUCCUGAAAAGGACUCUUCCCCUGGACUGAAACAGGCUUGGCACAUCACCUACAGGUAUCUGGGCAACCAGAUGAAUAAAUGAGGCUCCAGAGAUGAAGUAACAUACUCAAGGCAAGACUUUGUAAAGAUGAGUACUUUGAAGAAGAAAGAAGCCAAGCCCAAGUACAGUUAGCCAUAGAACUGAGCUCCAUGCCUAUGCACUCUGCCUCUAGACUGAUGUAGGGCAAGUGAGCCCCCAAAUUGGGACUUAGACCGGAAGAGUUCUUGGCUUCACCCAGGAAAUAAUUCAAGGAGUACCAGAGGAUAUGUUUCAGCAAAAAUUAGAAGUAAACCAAGAAUAUAGAAUCCAGGGGAUUCAACACGGGAGAGUAGCAGAGGAAAUUCCCAGGACGUGAGCUUCGCAGCAGGCAUAAAGAGUAACAGGCCAGGUUGAAAGAAGAAAUCCAGAGCCCCAGGAGGGAAGACUCCAGGGAAAGAGGAGAGACUGAUAGAUGCUAUGAUGUAAGACAAAACUUAUGAAAAUAAUCUUAAUAAUAAUGGUAUGGCAGAUAUAAUGCAACAUUUGGAAACAUUUAAGAAAACGAUGCAACUGAA
rnacentral:lncRNA from 1 species